UUCAAGAUGGAGCAUCAGUAGGAAGUCGUAAAAGUGCCAGUUCGAGUAGAUCAUCCGUGAGUGCUGCAGCAGCAAAGGCCAGAGCUGUAGCAGAGGCUGCCCGUGCACGUGCAGCAUUUGCAGAAAAAGAGAAAAGUAUUAAAGUUGAAAAAGCUAAGCUUGAGGCCAAUCUAGAAGUACUGAAGUAUGAAAGAGAGGCUGCAGCCACUAACGCCCAAGCAGAAGCAUUGGAAGCAGCAGCGGAGCUAGAGGAUGAAGAGGUGCGUAGCAGGAAAAGUUAUCCCAGGUCACUUCAAAAUGCACAUGACCGUGUUAGCGACUACAUUCAAAACCAAAAUGCUUGUUAUCACAAACACCCUGAAUCAGCCCACUUGCCAGAGCCAUUGGAGCAGUCUAUUGAGCCUCGCCGCAAUCUUCCAUCACCGCUUGUUUACAGGGGAAAAGAAUAUAUUGUCAAAAACUCCUGGCAUGUUCUACCAAAAAAUGAGUACAGACCAGGUUCCCCACAUGCUCACCAGAUGGGAAUCAGCUACAAUCCAUCUGUUCAACCCGCUACUCGAAGUCACUCCCGAAUCAGCAAAGAAUCUGAGCCCAACAGUCCUAAUCCCAGGGGAGAUUCACCAAAGUACAUGGAUACGGUUCACACAAGUGUUCCAGAGUCUUCAGCCUUUAUGGACAUGGCAAAAUAUCUAGCACGAAAAGAGCUCGUCAGCACGGGCCUUUCACACUACGACGACCAUCCAGAAACGUACAGAGCAUGGAAGUCUUCCUUUUCCAACACAAUCAGAGACUUAGAUCUAACAGCAAGUGAGGAGCUGGACCUACUCUCAAAAUGGCUUGGGAAGGAAUCAGCCGAGCACGUCAAACGUCUAAGAGCAGUCAAUCUAGCUAAUCCAGUAGCUGCAUUGAAAUCAGUAUGGAAAAGACUUGACGAAUGUUACGGGGCUCCAGAAGUGAUAGAGAGUGCUCUUUUUACAAAGCUUGACAACUUUCCCAAGAUCACAAAUAAGGACAAUCACAAGUUGAGGGAGCUGGGAGAUCUCUUAAACGAGCUACUUUCAGCUAAGGAGGAUGGCUACUUGUCAGGCUUGGCGUACCUGGACACCGCACGUGGCAUAAAACCCAUUGUGGAGAAGUUGCCAUAUAACUUACAAGAGAAGUGGCUUGCUCAAGGAUCAAAUUACAAAGAAACUUAUCAGGUCAGUUAUCCACCAUUCUCCUAUUUCACCUCUUUCGUCUGUUAUCAAGCUAAAACCAGAAACGAUCCCAGUUUCACGCCUGCAGUAAACAACCUCCAGACAGAACGCACACUUUCUAAACGUACCAAUCCCAGAACUGCAAUCUCAGUGCACAAAACUAAGGUCACCAAUGUCACAACUCUAAGCGAAACAGCAUCAAAAGACGACAUAACCAAACAGUGCCCUAUCCAUAAUAAGCCACACCCCCUAAAAAAGUGCCGUGGCUUCAGAUUAAAGACUCUGGAAGAAAGAAAGACUUACUUAAGGGAACAAGGCAUCUGUUUUAGAUGUUGCUCGUCCUCUUCUCAUCUAGCUCGCGACUGCAAAGUCAUGCUGAAAUGUGAUGAGUGCGACAGUGAAAGUCACAUAACAGCUCUCCACCCUGGUCCACCCAAAUGGGCAAGCAAACAUUCAAAUCCCUCACAAGAUGAUGGCGGGGAGCAAGGGACGCAGGAUACUUCGGCUUCUACAGUUAUCGGCCCUUUGUGCACAGAGGUCCAUGGAAACAAAAUCAAGUCAAAAUCCUGCUCAAAAAUCUGUCUCGUCAAAGUCUACCCCAAAGACCACCCUGAAAAAGCUGUAAAAAUGUAUGCAAUGCUCGAUGACCAGAGCAACAGAUCUCUUGUCGGUC
ensembl:lncRNA